AGAGAAGGAGUGAGGGUGAUCUCAGUUUUAUCUGUGUUUGGUUUUUCUCUAGGAGAAAAUGUAAAAAAUGAAUCUGAAGCAAAUAUAUCAAAAGACUGACAAUUGAAAUAUCUGGGAGGUAGGUACAAGAUUUUCUUCGGUGAUAUUAACCGUAAAGCAGGCUGGCCUCACAUAGGAUUUGCAGAGAAGCUGUUAGAGGGCAGAGACCCAGAAGAAGAUAUACCUUGAAAUUCUCUGUGUAACGAGCAAUAAAGAGCAGACAUAAAGCUCUGCAAGCAAAAUUCCUGAACAAAAGGUUUCUAUGAAGGAAGCGGCUGACCAGUUCCCAGGUAAUAUCUGGUGCCCCAGAUAAUAAGCGGGCGAUCAAGAAUAGAACCCGCAGUGCUCAUGGCCUCGGUCUCAGGCUAGACUGCACUCUGACCUCUUUAUGCAUCCUGCUCUUCAAGAGCCCAAGUUUGGGUUCUCAGGAAGCCACUCCAGGCAUGUUUUGUGACAACAGAGGUUGCCUGACAGCUUGAUCAGGGAUUCAUUGUUUAUACUUUUCUACUUUCCUGGCAUCCCUCCCACCUGCUUUCGUGUCACUACCACUGCUAAGUUAGGCAGACCAGACUCUUCCAUUGUCCUCUGUCACCUCCUCAUAUUACCUAUCCCAACCCUUGGUGAAGCCAGGAGCCCCAACUUAGGUCACCUGUCCCUUACUGGUCACCUGUGACUUACUUACCCAGUCUGUCCCAUUGACUUAGGCAGUAAACUCCCUGGGGUGGGAACAAUGUAGGUGGUCAUGGGAGACUCAAUGCAGUAUGGUACUCCAUAAAUUAUUAACUGUUGGAAUCGUAAAAACAAGGAGCUGUGAGUAACCGGAGAGGGUGGGCAGGGAGGGGUUUGACAACACACACACCACACACACACACACAUUAACACAAACAUCCGGGAAGAGUUUUCUCAGUGACUUUGCUGUAUGGUUUUCUGAGUUUUCUGUUUUGCUUUUUGCUGAACCUAAGUGCUUUUGCAGUCAUAAGUAGGGCUGUUGCCAACGUGGUCCCAGGAUGCUCGGGCAGGGGAUGGGCUGCAGAGAAUUUUUCUUGCUUAUGGCAGCAGCAAGGGAACUGUGGGUUCCUCCCAAGGAGCCAGUGUGACUGCAGUGUUGGUGGAGGCAGCCAAGGUGAUGAGAAGGAUGUGUUGAUGCAAAAAGGUCUGAGGUCAGGGAGCCUCUUUCUGCAUGGCAGCCCUUCCA